CCCUUAGAUGUUCUGGGCCGCACGCGCGCUACACUGAUGCAUUCAACGAGUCUAAAACCUGGUCUGAGAGGGCUGGGUAAUCUUUUGAAAGUGCAUCGUGAUUGGGAUAGAUGAUUGCAAUUCUUCAUCUUCAACGAGGAAUGCCUAGUAAACGCAAGUCAUCAGCUUGCAUUGAUUACGUCCCUGCCCUUUGUACACACCGCCCGUCGCUCCUACCGAUUGAACGAUCCGAUGAAAACUGUGGAUUGAGAGUCUGAGUGGGUUCGCCUACCUCAACCUUCGAGAAGCGGUUUAAAUCUUAUCGUUUAGAGGAAGGAGAAGUCGUAACA
rnacentral:rRNA from 1 species